ACGUAGGUGGCAAGCGUUGUCCGAAUUUACUGGGUGUAAAGGGCGUGUAGGCGGAAUUGUAGGUCAGAUGUGAAAACUCGCAGCUCAACUGCGAGACUGCAUUUGAAACCACAGUUCUUGAGUUACGGAGAGGAAAGUGGAAUUCCUAGUGUAGCGGUGGAAUGCAUAGAUAUUAGGAGGAACAUCAGUGGCGAAGGCGGCUUUCUGGACGAUAACUGACGCUGAGACGCGAAAGCGUGGGGAGCAAACAG
rnacentral:rRNA from 1 species